rnacentral:rRNA from 1 species
AACGCUAGCUACAGGCUUAACACAUGCAAGUCGAGGGGAAACGACAUCGAAAGCUUGCUUUUGAUGGGCGUCGACCGGCGCACGGGUGAGUAACGCGUAUCCAACCUGCCCAUCACUUGGGGAUAACCUUGCGAAAGUAAGACUAAUACCCAAUGAUAUCUCUAGAAGACAUCUGAAAGAGAUUAAAGAUUUAUCGGUGAUGGAUGGGGAUGCGUCUGAUUAGCUUGUUGGCGGGGUAACGGCCCACCAAGGCAACGAUCAGUAGGGGUUCUGAGAGGAAGGUCCCCCACAUUGGAACUGAGACACGGUCCAAACUCCUACGGGAGGCAGCAGUGAGGAAUAUUGGUCAAUGGGCGAGAGCCUGAACCAGCCAAGUAGCGUGCAGGAUGACGGCCCUAUGGGUUGUAAACUGCUUUUAUAAGGGAAUAAAGUGAGUCUCGUGAGACUUUUUGCAUGUACCUUAUGAAUAAGGACCGGCUAAUUCCGUGCCAGCAGCCGCGGUAAUACGGAAGGUCCGGGCGUUAUCCGGAUUUAUUGGGUUUAAAGGGAGCGUAGGCCGGAGAUUAAGUCAGUUGUGAAAGUUUGCGGCUCAACCGUACAAUUGCAGUUGAUACUGGUUUCCUUGAGUGCAGUUGAGGCAGGCGGAAUUCGUGGUGUAGCGGUGAAAUGCUUAGAUAUCACGAAGAACUCCGAUUG